rnacentral:rRNA from 1 species
AUUGAACGCUGGCGGCAUGCCUUACACAUGCAAGUCGAACGGCAGCACAGGUGCUUGCACCUGGUGGCGAGUGGCGAACGGGUGAGUAAUAUAUCGGAACGUACCUUAUUGUGGGGGAUAACGCAGCGAAAGCUGUGCUAAUACCGCAUAAUCCCUAAGGGGGAAAGCGGGGGACCGUAAGGCCUCGCGCAAUUAGAGCGGCCGAUACCUGAUUAGCUAGUUGGUGAGGUAAAGGCUCACCAAGGCAACGAUCAGUAGCUGGUCUGAGAGGAGGAUCAGCAACAGGGGGGCGGAGACAGGGCCCAAACUCCAACGGGAGGCAGCAGUGGGGAAUUUUGGACAAGGGGGGCAACCCUGAUCCAGCAAUGCGGGGUGAGUGAAGAAGGCCUUCGGGUUGAAAAGCUCUUUUGUAAGGGAAGAAACAGCAGCUCUAACACAGUUUGCGAAGGACGGUACCGGAAGAAAAAGCACCGGCUAACUACGUGCCAGCCGCCGCGGUAA